AAGUGGUCAUUUUAGAACAAGCCACCACAAGCCAGACAAAGGAAACCAAGAGAAUUUGCCAGUAGCAGAUAUACCCUCACUAGCAGAUAUACCCUAAAUGAAUGGCAAAGGAAGUCCUCUAUAACCAGAAGAAAAAGGAUUGAAAAAAGGAGUCUUAGAACACCAGGAAGAAAAGAAGAAUAAUGGAAAAAGCAAAAAUGGCAAGUUGAGCAGUGAAGUGGCAGCCUGCUGUGUUGGGGUGAUGGCCUCACUUUUGUCAUAUUAAUGUGAGAUACAUAAGCAGGUGAGUGUCAGAGGAGAAUGUAGGAUUGUGGGCAAUCCUAAACCAGUUAGUUAGGUAGAAUUCACCGAAAUCGAAUUAAAUUUCACAAAACUACCAUUGCUGUGUGGGAUGAUAUGACAC
rnacentral:lncRNA from 1 species